GGCCAGACUCCUACGGGAGGCAGCAGUGGGGAAUAUUGCACAAUGGGGGAAACCCUGAUGCAGCGACGCCGCGUGAGCGAUGAAGUAUUUCGGUAUGUAAAGCUCUAUCAGCAGGGAAGAAAAUGGUGGUACCUGACUAAGAAGCCCCGGCUAACUACGUGCCAGCAGCCGCGGUAAUACGUAGGGGGCAAGCGUUAUCCGGAUUUACUGGGUGUAAAGGGAGCGUAGACGGCUUGGCAAGCCAGAUGUGAAAGGCUGGGGCUCAACCCCAGGACUGCAUUUGGAACUGUCAAACUAGAGUACGGGAGAGGUAAGAGGAAUUCCUAGUGUAGCGGUGAAAUGCGUAGAUAUUAGGAGGAACACCAGUGGCGAAGGCGUCUUACUGGACCGAAACUGACGUUGAGGCUCGAAAGCGUGGGGAGCAAACAGGAUUAGAUACCCGGGUA
rnacentral:rRNA from 1 species